CAUGAAGUUGGUGGAGUUGAGUUUUGUUAUGUUAACCAUGUAGAUGUUGAGAAGAGAAUGAGUAGCAUUGAGAUAUUCAACAUUAGCAACCACAGUGAUUAGGCGAGGAAGAAAAAGAAGAAGAGAAGAGAUGGCGACCAAAGAAAAAUUAGGAUAACCGAUGUGCUCUGAUACCAUGUAAGAAUCUAUAUUAAUUGUGUAAAUAACUCACAAUGCCAUAAGCCUUAUAUAUGUAAGACCCGAUCCCGGCCCU
rnacentral:lncRNA from 1 species